rnacentral:tRNA from 5 species
GCGCCUAUAGCUCAACUGGAUAGAGCGUCUGACUACGGAUCAGAAGGUUGUGGAUUCGAGCUCUGCUAGGCGCGCCA